rnacentral:lncRNA from 1 species
AUGGGAAUGGGAAUAGGAACUGGGAAUGGGAAUAGGAAAUGGGAAUGGGAACUGGGAGUGGGAAUAGGAGGCCGGGCUGUGCCCGCAGCAGCCCCCGAGCUCGUCCCCGUCCUGUCCCAGCCCCAACCCUGUGCCAAAUUCUGUCCCCACCGUGCCAAAUUCAGUCCCCAUGUGUUAAAUUGUGUCACCACGUGCCAAAUUCUGUCCCCACCGUGCCGAAUUCUGUCCCCGCCUUACCGAAGUGUGUUCCCGUCGUGCCAAAACUUGUCCCAGCCGUGUGAAAUUCUGUCCUCACGUGUCAAAUUCUGUCACCACGUGUCAAAUCUUGUCCCCAUCGUGCCAAAUCCUAUCCCCAUGGUGCCAAAUCCCGUCCCCAUCAUGCCAAAUCCUGUCCUCAUUGUGCCACAUUCUGUCACCCAUCGUGCCAAAUUCUGUCCCCAUUAUGCCACAAUCUGUCCUCACCGUGCCAAAUCCCGUCCCCAUGGCGCCAAAUUCUGUUCCCACGUGCCAAAUCCCGGCCCCACGUGCCAAAUUCCGGCCCCACGUGCCAAAUCCCGGCCCCACGCUGCCAAACCCUCUGUCCCCACCCAGCCCGCAGCAGCCACGGGCUCACCUGAGAGGGGCGGGGACCUGCCCCGAUCCCUCUGCUCCAUAUUAAUGAGCCCCUUCCUCCUCCUCCUGCUGCUCCUCCUCCUCCUCCUGCUCCUCCUCUCCCCGGUGUCCCGGAGCGCUGCGAGUCGCGCUCGGUGCCCGCCGCGCUCGGUGCCAGCCCCGCUCGGUGCCAGCCCCGCUCGGUGCCAGCCCCGCUCGCCAUGGCCCGUGUCACCCUCGUGUCGCCGCUCUGGCUCCUGCUCCAAGGCUGCUGCCUCUGCCUGGCACAGCUGCGGGGGCCGCCAGGAGAGCCCGGCCCUCGAGGGCCCCCCGGUCCCCCCGGAGUGCCUGGAGCUGAUGGCAUCGAUGGUGACAAAGGCCCCGCUGGAGCCCCCGGUACCCCGGGUGUCAAGGGCGAGCCUGGAGCCCCUGGUCUGGAUGGGCCCCCGGGGAAGCCGGGCAUUGAUGGCCUGACGGGAGCCAAAGGGGAGCCAGGAGCCAUUGGCAGGCCAGGAGUUAAAGGCCAGCCCGGACUCCCAGGGCCACCAGGGCUCCCCGUGAGUACCUGCUGCUCCCCCCAAAUCCCCCCUGCUCCAUCCCCACUGCUGGGGUGGGAAUUGCCCUCCUUGCAUCAGGAGUUUUGGGGAAUUUGGGGAAUUUGAACCAGCUGUGGUUUUCUUUUCUUUGCAGGGUCCUUCCCUGCCAGGACCUCCUGUAAGUGGGGCUGGGAUGGGGGGGGCUUGGGAUCCUGCUGGGAAUUGUGCAGGAGGAGCUCAAACCUCAGCACCCCCAGAGGGGAGGGAUCAGAUGGGACCUCUCUCAUUCCAUGAAAUUAUCCUGGGACAUCCUGGGACAUCCUGGGACAUCCUGGGACAUCCUGGGACAUCCUGGGACAUCCUGGGACAUCCUGGGACAUCCUGGGACAUCCUGGGACAUCCUGGGACAUCCUGGGACAUCCUGGGACAUCCUGGGACAUCCUGGG